AUUGAACGCUGGCGGCAUGCCUUACACAUGCAAGUCGAACGGCAGCGGACCUUCGGGUGCCGGCGAGUGGCGAACGGGUGAGUAAUAUAUCGGAACGUACCUUUCAGUGGGGGAUAACGUAGCGAAAGUUACGCUAAUACCGCAUAUUCUGUGAGCAGGAAAGCAGGGGAUCGCAAGACCUUGCGCUGAUUGAGCGGCCGAUAUCAGAUUAGCUAGUUGGUAAGGUAAAGGCUCACCAAGGCGACGAUCUGUAGCGGGUCUGAGAGGAUGAUCCGCCACACUGGAACUGAGACACGGUCCAGACUCCUACGGGAGGCAGCAGUGGGGAAUUUUGGACAAUGGGCGCAAGCCUGAUCCAGCCAUGCCGCGUGAGUGAAGAAGGCC
rnacentral:rRNA from 1 species